rnacentral:rRNA from 1 species
GAUGAACGCUGGCGGCGUGCCUAAUACAUGCAAGUCGAGCGAACGGACGAGAAGCUUGCUUCUCUGAUGUUAGCGGCGGACGGGUGAGUAACACGUGGAUAACCUACCUAUAAGACUGGGAUAACUUCGGGAAACCGUAGCUAAUACCGGAUAAUAUUUUGAACCGCAUGGUUCAAAAGUGAAAGACGGUCUUGCUGUCACUUAUAGAUGGAUCCGCGCUGCAUUAGCUAGUUGGUAAGGUAAUGGCUUACCAAGGCAACGAUGCAUAGCCGACCUGAGAGCGUGAUCCGCCACACUGGAACAGAGACACGGUACAGACUCCUACGGGAGGCAGCAGUAGGGAAUCUUACGCAAGGGGCGAAAGCCUGACGGAGCAACGCCGCGUGAGUGAUGAAGGUCUUCGGAUCGUAAAACUCUGUUAUUAGGGAAGAACAUAUGUGUAAGUAACUGUGCACAUCUUGACGGUACCUAAUCAGAAAGCCACGGCUAACUACGUG